GGUGAUAUGGCUGUGACAUCUGUCACCCUGAUGACUGCCAGGAUUGAUUGAACCAAUUUAGUUGUUAAGGGGGUGUCCCCUUCCUCC
ensembl:misc_RNA 7SK 7SK RNA